UACGUAGGGUGCGAGCGUUGUCCGGAAUUAUUGGGCGUAAAGAGCUCGUAGGCGGUGUGUCGCGUCGGCCGUGAAAACCUGCAGCUUAACUGUGGGCUUGCGGUCGAUACGGGCAUCACUGGAGUUCGGCAGGGGAGACUGGAAUUCCUGGUGUAGCGGUGAAAUGCGUAGAUAUCUGGAGGAACACCGGUGGCGAAGGCGGCAUCCUGGACCGGCAUUGACGCUGAGGAGCGAAAGCCAGGGGAGCAAACGGG
rnacentral:rRNA from 1 species